UAUAUAGGUAAAACUCUUAGAGCAUCUCUAAUGCUAGCGCUACACUAUGCGCGAAUUCGCGAUUCGUAAUUCAUAAAUCGCGAUUUAUCUGACCAUUCGACCAGCGAAUCAGUGCAAAUGACGAAUCGCGCAUGAUGAAUUUUUCAACGAAAUUUUUUCUCCACACUAUUCAUGAACGUCAGAUAAAUCGCCAAUUACGAAUUACGAAUCGUACGAAUCGCGAAUACGCGCAUAAUGUGGCGGUAGCAUUAGACGUUUUCAAGUCUGUUUAUCCGAAAGUCUGUGUGCAAUAGCAAAUAUUAUUUCAAGUGUGAUUUAAUAUUUUAAUGUAUAAAUAAGUAGUUUUUUUUUCUCAAAUGGAGAACUUUGAGAAAGUGGAAUGCGAACUCUUAGAAGAAGCAAACGGAAGCUACAUUGAGUGAAUUCUUUACAUGGUUGCAUUCAUGUGAGGAGCGUUCGAAGAAUUCGAAGAAUUGUGCCAAGCGUCCUCGGCUUGCCAUAGGACAGAGACAAUCUAUGGUGACAAGAAUCGCUCGACUCGCGAGUGAAAAAACGCGAUUGGAAAGACGUUUUAUACACGUUGGUAGUAACUAUGCGAGCACUAGUGAUAAUAGUGAUAACGCGAGACUUGAGUGGCGUGCAAUAGAUACUGCAUUUGAGAAUCGUAUCUUAACCGGUGCAGUGAUUAAUGUGCGUCACAUUGAACCUCGUCAUUUUUUAGAAGAUAUUAAAGACAUUGUGCUUGAGCGAGUGCGGGAGACAAUAGACAAACAUGGUAGUGUAAAAGUGAAUACCGCGUUCAAUGGCGAAUUUGCAGCGGGGGAUAAACGUGCUAAUAAGAGCAUUACCACGAGAAACAGCGAUCUUUUUAGAACAUCGGACUUGAAUGAGUGGUACAAGCGGUACGUUAUCGAGCCUACGUUAGCGUUGCUCGAUGAAUUUCAAGAACGUGAUAGUGGGUGGGCGUUAUCACGUAUACUAAAUUUAACUAUUAAUAUAAAUAAGUAUAAUCCUAUGCGUGCGGGAUGUCGUUUCACAUUACCACGACCUAUUAUGCUGAAAAAAACGAUAAUCAACGUGCAAUCAAAAGACAAUGCUUCGCGUGGUCAGUGGUCGCCGCUCUACUGGUCCUGCUGAAAGAAAUACAGGAUUGGAAUCGUCAUAUCUGCAUUAUGCAACAGUCCUAAAGUUUGAUGAUAUUGUGUUUUCCGUUACAGUAAAGGAUAUUGGAAAAUUUGAGUCUUAACAAUAUAUCGAUCAACGGGAUGAAAAAGGAAAUGGCAAUGCUAAAGAUUCUUCCGCUGCGGUUCUCCACUGAUAAGAAAGAAAAGCAUGUCAAUUUAUUAUACAUGCAAAAUCCGCGCGAAGACAGCGUAGGCCACUUUGUCUGGAUAAAAAAUCUGUCCCGCCUCGUCAGCUCUCAACUGAGUAAAAAGGAGCACAAGAAAUACAUUUGCGAUCGGUGCUUGCACUAUUUUUCAUCAUGCGAGAGGUUGCAAUCACGCGCUGUAGACUGUCAGAAGAUGAACGACUGCGCUAUCACAUUGCCUGCCGAAAACGACAAGUGGUUGAAUUUCCGAAAUAUAAACCACAAGGAACGAGUGCCCUUUAUCGUCUGUCUACGCGGACCUCGAGUGUGUGCUGCGGAAGACGCAACAUGAUACAGAGCAAGCGUCGUACACAUAUCAACAACAUGAGGUAUUCAGCAUCGGGUAUUACGUGCGAUGCUCAUACGACGACACGUUAUCCACAUACCGGUUUCGUCGCGAUAAAGAUUGCGUCGCGUGAUUCACUAAACAUCUUGAAGAAUUAGCGUAUAAUGUUAAGACUCGUUUAUCAUCUAAUAUCCCCAUGGAAACGUUAUCGGAGGAACAAUUGGAGGCAUACCGUAGCGCGACGCGGUGUCAUAUCUGCGAUAAGCCAUUCGCGUCGGAUGAUACGCGGGUGCGCGAUCAUUGUCAUUUGAUUGGUCGUUACCGCGGUCCUGCACAUUCUCUUUGUAAUUUAAAUUAUCGAAAUGCAUCAUACAUGCCAAUUAUUUUUCAUAACUUAUCUGGAUACGAUUCGCAUUUCAUUAUUAAGGACAUAGCCACAGCGUUCAAAGGGAAAACCGACGUACUUCCCAUCACGAAAGAAAAGUACAUUUCUUUUACAAAAUGUCGUAGACACAGCCGAUAAAUUAUAUUCACACAAUUACAUAAAACUACGGUUCAUAAAUUCAUAUAAAUUUUUAAAUACUAGUCUCGAAAAAUUGACAUCAUUUCUAG